AAGCGUUAAUCGGAAUUACUGGGCGUAAAGCGCACGCAGGCGGUCUGUCAAGUCGGAUGUGAAAUCCCCGGGCUCAACCUGGGAACUGCAUUCGAAACUGGCAGGCUUGAGUCUUGUAGAGGGGGGUAGAAUUCCAGGUGUAGCGGUGAAAUGCGUAGAGAUCUGGAGGAAUACCGGUGGCGAAGGCGGCCCCCUGGACAAAGACUGACGCUCAGGUGCGAAAGCGUGGGGAGCAAACAGGAUUAGAUACCCUGGUAGUCCACGCCGUAAACGAUGUCUACUUGGAGGUUGUGCCCUUGAGGCGUGGCUUCCGGAGCUAACGCGUUAAGUAGACCGCCUGGGGAGUACGGCCGCAAGGUUAAAACUCAAAUGAAUUGACGGGGGCCCGCACAAGCGGUGGAGCAUGUGGUUUAAUUCGAUGCAACGCGAAGAACCUUACCUGGUCUUGACAUCCACGGAAGUUUUCAGAGAUGAGAAUGUGCCUUCGGGAACCGUGAGACAGGUGCUGCAUGGCUGUCGUCAGCUCGUGUUGUGAAAUGUUGGGUUAAGUCCCGCAACGAGCGCAACCCUUAUCCUUUGUUGCCAGCGGUCCGGCCGGGAACUCAAAGGAGACUGCCAGUGAUAAACUGGAGGAAGGUGGGGAUGACGUCAAGUCAUCAUGGCCCUUACGACCAGGGCUACACACGUGCUACAAUGGCGCAUACAAAGAGAAGCGACCUCGCGAGAGCAAGCGGACCUCAUAAAGUGCGUCGUAGUCCGGAUUGGAGUCUGCAACUCGACUCCAUGAAGUCGGAAUCGCUAGUAAUCGUGGAUCAGAAUGCCACGGUGAAUACGUUCCCGGGCCUUGUACACACCGCCCGUCACACCAUGGGAGUGGGUUGCAAAAGAAGUAGGUAGCUUAACCUUCGGGAGGGCGCUUACCACUUUGUGAUUCAUGACUGGGGUGAAGUCGUAACAAGGUAACCGUAGGGGAACCUGC
rnacentral:rRNA from 1 species